AUGUCAUGGUGAGGGCAUUUUCUUAUCAGCUCUUUGAACCUCUCCCAUGCAUCAGGAACAACUUCAACGUUCAAUUGUUUAAAAAGAAAGAUUUUAUUUUACAGAACCU